CGCUUUCACUCCUACGGGAGGCAGCAGUGGGGAAUAUUGCACAAUGGGCGCAAGCCUGAUGCAGCCAUGCCGCGUGUAUGAAGAAGGUCCUUCGGGUUGUAAAGUACUUUCAGCAGUGAGGAAGGCAGGUACGUUAAUAGCGUGCUUGUUUGACGUUAGCUGCAGAAGAAGCACCGGCUAACUCCGUGCCAGCAGCCGCGGUAAUACGGAGGGUGCGAGCGUUAAUCGGAAUUACUGGGCGUAAAGCGCAUGCAGGUGGUUCGUUAAGUCAGAUGUGAAAGCCCGGGGCUCAACCUCGGAAUUGCAUUUGAAACUGGCGGACUAGAGUACUGUAGAGGGGGUAGAAUUUCAGGUGUAGCGGUGAAAUGCGUAGAGAUCUGAAGGAAUACCGGUGGCGAAGGCGGCCCCCUGGACAGAUACUGACACUCAGAUGCGAAAGCGUGGGGAGCAAACAGGAUUAGAUACCCUGGUAG
rnacentral:rRNA from 1 species